AGUAUCUUUGUUUUCUUCUGUUUUCUUCUCCACCUCCUCCUCCACCUCCUGGUCAGUGUUGGUGUCACUGUAGCUGUUGCUUUCGGAAGACUUCUCACUUUGUCCCGAGUCACUGCCUGCAAACUUCACCCUCCGCUUGGAUUUCUACUUACAGAAGAAGUAAGGGGGACACGAGAACAAAGCUCUCAGGAAACUAUGAUGUCACUGCUGUGUAUGGGCAACCCCAGCAGCUCCUCCAGCAGACACUGCCCCCUUCUAUCUUUCCAGGUGCCACUGACCAAGCUGCCCACCAGUAGAUAGGCAGUUCUGGCUGAUGACCUGUCUCCGUAUAUAGCUGAUAGAAACCAACACGGAAUAUCAUCCCCACUGAUACUACUAAUAUUUCUAACUUUACUGAUGAAGUAUACGAGGGCAGACUUAUCCAAUCUCUCUGAACUGCCUGAAGUGUUCAGUCAAAAUUACAACUACCACUAGUCACAGGUUCAAUAAGAUGUUCUGCAAAAAACAAUACAGAAAUGUUGUUUCUCUGCCAAUCAUACAGUAUGUUGACUUUGUGUAGAUAGUAAUAUGUUUGUUGAACAUCAGUGAUUCUAAGAUUCUAAGAAUAACUAUUACC